UAGGGAAUUUUCCACAAUGGGCGAAAGCCUGAUGGAGCAACGCCGCGUGCAGGAUGAAUGCCUUCGGGUUGUAAACUGCUUUUAUCUGUGACGAUUUUGACGGUAGCAGAUGAAUAAGGAUCGGCUAACUCCGUGCCAGCAGCCGCGGUCAUACGGAGGAUCCAAGCGUUAUCCGGAAUUACUGGGCGUAAAGAGUUGCGUAGGUGGCACUGUAAGUUGGUAGUGAAAGCCUGGGGCUCAACCCCUUACACAUUAUCAAAACUGCAGAGCUAGAGGACGAGAGAGGUAAUUGGAAUUCCUAAUGUAGGGGUAAAAUCCGUUGAUAUUAGGAGGAACACCGAUGGCGUAGGCAGAUUACUGGCUCGUUCCUGACACUAAGGCACGAAAGCGUGGGGAGCAAACAGGAUUAGAUACCCCUGUAGUCC
rnacentral:rRNA from 1 species